AUCAAUCAAUGCCUCUCCUAAAUCUACAUCAUUGAUAAUGCAAAGAAGGGUCAACGCUCCUGAAUCCUCUAAUUUCUGUGGAUGGUUCUUCUUCCGGGGUUUCACCCACUGCUCCUGAUUUUCUUCAUAGCCCAGAUUAAGUAACUUUCCCAAAUAGUACUUGAUCAUCUCAUCACAUUCAGAAGUUUGUGAAGAUGUUCUAGGAUUAAUGGCCGCCUCCUUAAGAAUCUUGCGGAGUGAUUCUUUAAUAUCUUCCUUCUCCUUUUCUCUUUCUGUUUUCUUCUCUUCGCCUUUCUUAUGCUCAAUAUUAAUCCUUUCCUCCUCUCCGUCCUCACUGCUUUCGAUCUCAAUUAUUUCCUCCUCUGGCUUCCUUUUUCCUCCUAUUGUAACAACUUUGCACUCAUCUUUUGCGUUAACAUCAGUAUUAGCCCGAAAUUGAUGUUUCUCUGUGGUUUCAACCCUCUUAGACAGUUGUCCUAUUUGUGUCUCU
rnacentral:lncRNA from 1 species